CGCGUGGCAACCUACCUUUCAGUACGGAACAACAGUUAGAAAUGACUGCUAAUACCGUAUACGUCCUCCGGGAGAAAGAUUUAUCGCUGAUAGAUGGGGCCGCGUUAGAUUAGCUAGUUGGUGAGGUAAAAGCUCACCAAGGCGACGAUCUAUAGCUGGUCUGAGAGGAUGAUCAGCCACACUGGGACUGAGACACGGCCCAGACUCCUACGGGAGGCAGCAGUGGGGAAUAUUGGACAAUGGGCGCAAGCCUGAUCCAGCCAUGCCGCGUGAAUGAUGAAGGCCUUAGGGUUGUAAAAU
rnacentral:rRNA from 1 species